AUGGCCUGGACUCUGCUUCUCCUCAUCCUCCUCGCUCAGGACACAGGAUCCUGGGCUCAGUCUGCCCUGACUCAGCCUCACUCAGUGUCCGGGUCUCCUGGACAGUUGGUCACCAUCUCCUGCACUGGAACCAGCAGUGACGUUGGGCGUUAUAACUGUCUCCUGGUGCCAUCUGCCCCCAGGCACAUGAUUUAUGGUGUCAGUAAGCAGCCCUCAGGGGUCUCUGAUUGCUUCUCUGGCUCCAAGUCUGGCAACACGGCCUCCAUGACCAUCUCUGGGCUCCAGGCUGAGGACGAGGCUGAUUAUUACUGCUGCUCAUAUGCAGGCAGCACCACUUUCCACAGUGGACAUAAGAUUGAUUCUCAGGCUUCAAGUCUGGCAAGGCCUUGUCACUCCCUGUCCAGCAGCAUCCUGGGGAGCUAA